rnacentral:lncRNA from 14 species
CUUUUGUAACUUAGAUCUGUUAUAUCUAAUGUUUUUCAGCUGUACCAUUAACUGAUAGUUACUGGACUGGAUUCAUAUUAACAUUUUAAUGUUUAAAAAAAUGUUGGAGUUUCAAGUGCUAAUGAAAUAAAUCCUGAGGGUAAUAUUCAGUUUUUAUUAUUAUUAGGGACAUCAUUAUUUUUGCUUUCAGGGUUGUGUGAAGAAGUAGAUUCAUAGGUAUGCUUCCUUUCUCCCCUCCUUCUCAACUCCAAAAGAAAUAAUGUUGGCUCAGCUGAAAACUUCAGUUCUUUUUGAAAAUUCUGGAAAACAGAUUUGUGACUAAUUGCAAUCAAUGAAUCUUGGGAAGAGUCUGGUGUAAAGGUGCCCUCUCUGACCCUAAAUUUAUAUACUAUGGAUUGUGUAGUAAUCCUGUAUGUAAACACUGGACACUUCAAUACUGGAAGAUCCCAUUUCCUGUACUUGAAACUGUUUUUGGGACUGUUUUUGCCCUCAUACUGUUUUGCAGUUACUAGAAUUACUCCUACUUUAUCCUGAGCAGACAGCAUGCAAUUUUCUGGAGCUUCUCUGCACUUAGCACUAAAAUGAUUAUGUUGUUUUAUGUAAUUCUGUGUAGUUUCUUUUCUGGAAUGCCUCCAGUAAUUGUUCAGAUUAAAAGGUUUGAUUUGAAUGGUUCGAUAUGUCUUUGCCUAGAAAAUGUGGGUUUUCACUUUAGUUUAUUUCGUUAUAGAAUGCCUAAUGCCAUCUGUUCAUUUCCAAUGGAUCCAGACUUGCAGGAGGCUUUCAAUGAUGUUCAGAGCUCCAUCUACAGAACAGCCCUAAAACUAAGCUCAGUACAAAGUCUAUGCCAGUGUUAGUAGCUGAAGAGAAUCUUUGUGCUUUGACAGUGAGAAGAAUCUGUAACAAAACUUAUACUGCUGUCACCAUGAGUUAUUAUGUUACUUUUCUCUUUCAUUUUCCACCUGAGAUUCUCGGAAUGUAUUACAAGCACUUAAGAGCUCGAUAGUACUUCAAAUUGAUGUUUUCCCCCCUUUUGAAUGUCAGUGGAAAUACAUUAGUAAAAUUCUAAAGGCAUGAGAGAAUCAAAUUAUUAUUACAAUCUG